rnacentral:rRNA from 1 species
AGUUGGUGGAGUGAUUUGUCUAGUUAAUUCCGAUAACAAGCGAGACCUCAGCCUGCUAAGUAGCUACGCGAAGGUUCCCCUUCGCGACCAGCUUCUUAGAUGGACUAUGGCUAUUUAGGCCAUGGAAGUUUGCACCAAUAACAGGU